GACUGAAGGAAGGGGAUUGUGUUUAAGACCUUUGAGCACAAGAACAGACCCUUUGCCACCUCUCGUCAACUCCCCUGCUCCGUGAUGGUCCAAACUGGUUACAGUCAUGAAGUCAUCCCAAAUGAAAUGUUAUAAGUCCAUCUAAAGCCAGUAUGAAGGUGCAGUGUUAAGAAACUAUACAAUGAGAGUUUAAAAAGGACUUCAACAUUAAAUCAUCCAGGGUUUGAUUCACAAUCACCCUGAAGCUAUUCCAGAUAUUAGUUUUGGCACCUUCACCAGGCAGUGACUCAUGGGAAAAGUGAAUCAACAGUAAAGAGACUGAUGUAUCAAAGUGAACUGGCCUUAGUAAACACCUGGACUGUGAGGAAAAUAAUAGGAAAAUGCCACUCCAGACAGACAGAGUCAGAGUCCUCUUACUUGAUCCACUCAUUUGAUUGCACUCUAGAUUUGGUACAGAAUCAUCUCCACUCCACGUAUUCAGGGAGAAAACUCCAGUAUUGAAUCAAAUCCACUCCACAUUUUCCAUUGCACCCUGUGUUUUUCCCAGCCCACUCUGAAUAUCUGGAUUACCCAACUGAAAUGCUAAAGGAGGCAAGGGAGUUUUGGAUUGAAUAAAAGUUUGAUUAUUUAAGAUCUAAGGAUUUUGGUUAUAACUGGCUCCAAGCAGGAAGUCCCGAACAUCAUCAGGCUGAAAUGCCUCCAAAGAGACGCGAGCAGGCAACUGUGAUAAUGUGAUCCAGCACAGUAAUCAACAGCACAAGCCGCCACAACUUUCCCCAACUUUGUGCAAUGUUCAGCUUUGAAAGAAUCUGGACGGAAAUGUUUAGAAGCAAUCCUCCUUCACCUGAAGAUGAAGCCGAAGAGUCUAUAAAACAACUGAAUAUUAAUGCGUCAGUAUUUAUCAUACGUUUUAAUAAACAUUACCAGAGCAUGCUCGAAAGUGUUCAGAGCUGUGGAAGGAUGAGUGAAAGAGUCAAACAAUAUCGAUACACUCUCAAAGCCUGUGUAGGUUUGAGCUUGUUGCUUGGAGUAUUGACAAUCGUUGUUGCUGUGGCUGUCGCUUUAGAUCAGGGUACCUUUGCUAUAGAAAUAAUGAGCGUGUUUGCUAUUGGCUUUCCUUUUGUUGUGAUAUUAAUGUUGUGGGAAGAACGGCAAAAAAGCAUGACCAUCGCCAGAUCGUCCAUUGAAGACUUCAGGAGAAAGGUAUCAUUACUAAACCCCAAGUUGGAGAAAGUGAAGCGUGUAUGUGAAGAGCUACGGAGAUCUUCCUGGUCCGUUCUCGGAGGUACAGAGAGAGUGAACAUCAUGAGGCUGGAGCAGAGUGUGCUGGAGGUGUUUGUCCUCACUGAAGGUCUCAGCAUGUCCGUCUCUCCAGACUCAGUCACACAGGUUUAUGAGGAGUACAGAAAAACUCUCUCCGAACUGGACAAGAUGAAGGUUCAACUAAACUACUACACUGGAACAGCCAUAAUACUAGCAUCAGAAUGUCAAUGAUGAAGCACUGUUUUAAAGGUUCAAAUGUGGUUGUGGGCAGAGUUUAGGUGUCUAGUCCUUCAAAGACAUUGUUGCAUGAGAACCAUGUGGACUGUGACUGUCUUAUGGUUAACAAUAUAAUGUAGAAGGAGGGAAGUGGACAUGUCUUCAAGCUGAGCCAUGUUUGUCUUUCAGGGUUCAACACUGGGUGCGUGACCACACUAAACUUAUUCAUGUGUGAUUCUUUUCUAAAACAGUGAGUUACUAGGUGAAUUGCUACAUAAAUAAAUAUAUAUAUACUGUAUAUCCUUGUGUAAAAUGUUCUAAACAGUAUGUCCAAGUGUGUAACACUUUAAUAUCUGAGAUAGUGACAUUAGAACAUUUAUGAUAUUGAUUCAGUGGUAAAUACAAUCUUUUUACAAAAUGGGAAAAUGCUCUGGACUGUCUGAAAAUUAAAGGGGUAGUGGUGUUAUAUUGCCAGUAAUUGUUGAUUUUACUUUGUUGUAACUGCUGCAUUUGAUAUCACUUAUCUCAUAGAAUCCUUA